rnacentral:rRNA from 1 species
CGUACACUCCUACGGGAGGCAGCAGUGGGGAAUAUCGCACAAUGGGCGCAAGCCUGAUGCAGCCAUGCCGCGUGUAUGAAGAAGGCCUUCGGGUUGUAAAGUACUUUCAGCGGGGAGGAAGGCGAUAAGGUUAAUAACCUUGUCGAUUGACGUUACCCGCAGAAGAAGCACCGGCUAACUCCGUGCCAGCAGCCGCGGUAAUACGGAGGGUGCAAGCGUUAAUCGGAAUUACUGGGCGUAAAGCGCACGCAGGCGGUCUGUCAAGUCGGAUGUGAAAUCCCCGGGCUCAACCUGGGAACUGCAUUCGAAACUGGCAGGCUAGAGUCUUGUAGAGGGGGGUAGAAUUCCAGGUGUAGCGGUGAAAUGCGUAGAGAUCUGGAGGAAUACCGGUGGCGAAGGCGGCCCCCUGGACAAAGACUGACGCUCAGGUGCGAAAGCGUGGGGAGCAAACAGGAUUAGAAACCCGGGUAGUCCCA